AUUGAACGCUGGCGGCAUGCCUUACACAUGCAAGUCGAACGGCAGCACGGGGGCAACCCUGGUGGCGAGUGGCGAACGGGUGAGUAAUACAUCGGAACGUGUCCUGUAGUGGGGGAUAGCCCGGCGAAAGCCGGAUUAAUACCGCAUACGACCUGAGGAAGAAAGCGGGGGAUCUUCGGACCUCGCGCUAUAGGGGCGGCCGAUGGCAGAUUAGCUAGUUGGUGGGGUAAAGGCCUACCAAGGCGACGAUCUGUAGCUGGUCUGAGAGGACGACCAGCCACACUGGGACUGAGACACGGCCCAGACUCCUACGGGAGGCAGCAGUGGGGAAUUUUGGACAAUGGGGGCAACCCUGAUCCAGCAAUGCCGCGUGUGUGAAGAAGGCCUUCGGGUUGUAAAGCACUUUUGUCCGGAAAGAAAACUUCGUCCCUAAUAUGGAUGGAGGAUGACGGUACCGGAAGAAUAAGCACCGGCUAACUACGUGCCAGCCGCCGCAGUAA
rnacentral:rRNA from 1 species